rnacentral:snoRNA from 1 species
CCCCUCUCAGGGUCACUCCCGGAGAGUUUCCAGUAUUCUACCAGUCUCAACUACGAGAGGGAGAGUCAAGCAGAAGCCUAUCCAUUCCAUUCCUAGCUUGGGCAGUGGUUAGUGAGUGGAAGACAUCCUGCUACAAGU